AAAUUAUGAUGGGGGCAUAAGCACAAAAAUUCCUUGAGGUGUUCCAAUACAUCAUGAAACUCUUCAUUGGGUUUUUGUAAAAAAUCUUGUAUCGCUUUUAUUAUUUC